UUGUAUGGAUUCUCUGUGUAUAAAGUCUGCUCCUGUGAUGGAACCAGAAUGUAGUGAAGGGCUGUCUCCAACAAGUAUAUUUCAUUAUUAUUCAAAGAGAGCCAUUCCUACAAAAGGACCGGAUGUGCUGUUGCAGUGUCAUGGAAUAACGUGGGAACUCCACAAGCCGUACAUUCGGAAGUUCCACACAUUGUCUGGUCUCUUACAGCAUGCUGUUAUCUCAGCAACUGCAUGAAGUUCUUGCCAGGGCACUCGGUUUGCUGUAUGAAGACCAGUUUACUGUGUCACCUGAAGAGGUGGUUUCUGUAUUGGCAGCUGCGUCACUUCUUUUGUAUCCUGAACUGCAAAAAGAAUGCUGUGAAGUGAUGUUAAGAUUCAUCAAUGCGAGGACAGUCUCAAUGUACUACUUGGCAUCUACCAAGGUAAAAUGAUGUUAUGAACAUUAGCACAAGUGCAAACUUUUAUGGAUUACAACUGACAUCAUGCAGUCGACUCUUGACCAACAAUAAGUUGUGUGGGAUGUAAUCACGGCUGCAAUACGAACAGAAGUUAGUGACACUGAAAGUCAUUCUGAUCACGGAAUGGCUCAGCUAUCAGGUAUGAUUGUCUAACAAGUAUUGAUAUAAUAAUAGUUGGGUGUGUUGGGUAAUACGCGAGUUAACAAUGUAGUGUAUUGAUGUGAUU